rnacentral:rRNA from 1 species
CUACGGGUCGCAGCAGUGAGGAAUCUUGCGCAAUGGGGGAAACCCUGACGCAGCGACGCCGCGUGGGUGAUGAAGGCCUUCGGGUCGUAAAGCCCUGUCGAGAGGGAAGAAUUGCAUUUAGGUUAAUAGCCUAAUUGUUUGACGGUACCUCCAAAGGAAGCACCGGCUAACUCCGUGCCAGCAGCCGCGGUAAUACGGAGGGUGCAAGCGUUGGCGGAAUCACUGGGCGUAAAGGGCGUGUAGGCGGCUGAGGAAGUCAGGUGUGAAAUCCCUCGGCUCAACCGAGGAAGUGCAUUUGGUACUGCUCAUCUUGAGUACUGGAGAGGGAGAUGGAAUUCCCGGUGUAGAGGUGAAAUUCGUAGAUAUCGGGAGGAACACCAGCGGCGAAGGCGAUCUCCUGGACAGAUACUGACGCUAAGGCGCGAAAGCGUGGGGAGCAAACAGGAUUAGAUACCCCCGUAGUC